CCUACGGGCGGCUGCAGUGAGGAAUAUUGGUCAAUGGGCGCGAGCCUGAACCAGCCAAGUAGCGUGAAGGAUGACUGCCCUACGGGUUGUAAACUUCUUUUAGAAGGGAAUAAAGUGAGGCUCGUGAGCCUUUUUGUAUGUACUUUAUGAAUAAGGACCGGCUAAGUCCGUGCCAGCAGCCGCGGUAAUACGGGGGAGCCGAGCGUUAUCCGGAUUUGUUGGGUUUAAAGGGAGCGUAGAUGGGUUGUUAAGUCAGUUGUGAAAGUCUGCGGCUCAACCGUAAAAUUGCAAUUGAUACUGGCAGCAUUGAGUACAGUUGAGGUAGGCGGAAUUCGUGGUGUAGCGGUGAAAUGCUUAGAUAUCACGAAGAACUCCGAUUGCGAAGGCAGCUUACUAAACUGCCACUGACAUUGAUGCUCGAAAGUGCGGGUAUCAAACAGGAUUAGAUACCCGUGUAGUC
rnacentral:rRNA from 1 species